GAAGGGAUGCUUUUGGAAGGGAUAUUUGAACACAUGAGAAGUCACUUGGAUUGGAAUGUCAUAGGACCUUCUAAUUUGCUAUAAGCAACCUGAAAGAAGAUAAUGAGGGGUAAACGGAACAAGAACUUACGCAAAAAGAAUUUCAGCUAUAAUGAUGGCGGCCUUCUGGAGAAAUUAGGAAAGAAGCAAUGAGGCAGCAGGAAUAAGAUCCACCACAUGGAUAAGGGAAACAUACUCAGCAGCAGAAGAAUGGCCUGGUUCGCUACAUAAUUUGCCACUUCCCCUCUUAAUCUUGCAUUCACAUGCAGUCUCACAAUUGCCACUUGAGUGUCAUCUAUGGUUCAGUGGUUUAGAUUAAAGGAACUGAAAACAGUUGCCUGUUGCUUCUAUCUUCCUUAGACUUUGUAUAAAACAAAGUCUUUAGCUCCUCGCAGAUAUACCACGUCUCGUGCCCCUGAGAAAUACAAAUCAUUCUUCAAGUGAUUACUAAACGAUUACCGACAGGCAAGCACCACAAAAUUAUUGAAGUUGAGAUAUCAGAUUCUCUCUUUCUGCUCAAAUUGUGUGGUAAGCAAGCUUCUUAUGUGAUAUAGGUAGAAUUCCGUUGAACUUGUUUGACAAAUUUUGAAGUUGAAAAUAUAUGCUUCUUUUUACAUUCUUGUUUCAUUAAGUAGAAAAUUUUGAAGUAUAGAUUAUUUUUAUCUAUUAGCCAGAGAAAAAUCUA